ACAACAAAAAUAAAAACCGCGAAAACUCACUAAUAAAAACAAGAUUCAGCUCCACACAUAACAAGAACAACACGGUGCGAGUGCAGCAAACUGAUUUUUUUGGAGAAUGGGAAGGUCUCUUCCUGCGCAUCCAAAGCAAUCCGCUUGCUUUAGGCAACCCGGGAUGGGUUUCAGGGCGGCACUGCCGCCGGCUAAAAGAACAAGAAAAGCUCAGAAAAACAAGAACACCAGAGGGGAGCGUAAGCUCCCCUUUGAGCUUUCUGGGAUUUGGAAAAAUCACUUCAA
rnacentral:sRNA from 1 species